UAACGAAUAUUGGGCAAUGGGCGCAAGCCUGACCCAGCAAUGCCGCGUGCAGGAGGAAGCCCUUCGGGGUGUAAACUGCUGUCAGGGUUUAGCAAGCGAGAAGGGUUAACAGCCCUUUGAGUUGAGCAGACCCAGAGGAAGCCUCGGCUAACUCUGUGCCAGCAGCCGCGGUAAGACAGAGGAGGCAAGCGUUGUUCGGAAUCACUGGGCUUAAAGCGGGUGCAGGCGGCUCCGUAAGUGUUUUGUGAAAUCCCCCGGCUCAACCGGGGAAUUGCAGGGCAAACUACGGAGCUUGAGGUCGGUAGAGGUGCCUGGAACUCUAGGUGGAGCGGUGAAAUGCGUAGAUAUCUAGAGGAACGCCUGAGGCGAAAGCGGGGCACUGGGCCGAUUCUGACGCUGAGACCCGAAAGCGUGGGGAGCAAACA
rnacentral:rRNA from 1 species